rnacentral:lncRNA from 1 species
UUUUGAUCUAAAGGAUUUGGGGUGUUAAUUAGACACUUAAUAAAGCUUCACUUCUACUGAAUGAGAACACUUUUGUACAUCAUUCAACUUUUGCACUUUGAAAGAAAGGCAUUAAUCAUAAGGAAGCAAGAAUGGUCAAAAUAGAAUGCUGCAUUUUUAUAAACAAAAUUACAGACUGUAUAAAACUGCAGAAGAAUGAACUAACAAUAGCAUUAAUAACCAAAACACACAGUGGUGAUUAUUACAGAACGUCGUAUCACAUUUUAGUCCAGAGAUAGACUGAAGUUGAAUAGCCUUGACUUACACAAAACUGUUCAGUAGUUGGAGUCCAUUAUCUUAGUGACUGUAACCAUUUUGCAAUACGUUUGUAUUUGGCCAUUUCCUGUAAUCACAUUUUUAAAUCUGUACAGUAACACUUUUUGCAGUUGUGGGGCUAGUGUGUAACACUGUCCAUCUUGCAUCAUUGAAACUACUACAGUGAUACUAUCAUUUAAUAAUAUUAAUAUUACUUGAACUAGAGUAAGAUAAAGAAAAAGGGUCUAUAUGGUGUGCAGUUUGUGCCUUUCUGUAUUUGCCUUGUUCCUUGUUGAAUGUGUGAAAUUCUGUACUGUGGUUUUCCUAUAAUAGAGAGUAGAACUGUGUAUUAAAUUAGACUGUGCCCCUCUGAUCCUUUACACUACUGAGAAUAGCGUGGUUUUGGCCGUGUAAACCAAUUUUCAAAGUUCUAAUGACAUGCCAUGUGGUUUUGGUUUUUAACAGUUCAUUAUAACAUUUCAGUAUCACCAUACAUUAAUUAAUACUCCUGUGAUAGAUAAGCAGUCAUUAAAUAAUUCCAAAAGAAAGGGCCAUUGCUUGCAUUACUUUGAAUUUAAUGUUGCGCUUGUGCACUGUAUAAAUAUUGUUUGUGAUGGAUUGGACAUUGUGACUUUUGCCUUUUCAGAAGAAAAAAAAAGAUAGGACAAAAUAUUUGAAGCUCUUAAAAUGUACAUAUUUUGGUUCUUCUAUCUCAAAUUAUUUAAAAUGCAUAAUUCACAUUUUUGUAAUAAUUCUAUGCAAUUUUGUGGCAUGAUGUUUCUUCCACUUGUAAUUUUAUGUGCUUUCAUCACAAAUCCAAAGGAAACAAUAAAAAUUUCUUAACACAACCCAGCUAU